GUUAGUGGCGAAAGGGUGAGGAAUAGAUAGGAACGUACCCCGUACUCCGGGAUAGCGUCAGGUGCUUGCACCUUUCCGAAAGGGGCGGUAAUACCGGAUAAUGUCUACGGAUCAAAGAUUUAUCGGUAUGGGAGCGGCCUAUCUCCUAUCAGCUUGUUGGUGAGGUAAUGGCUUACCAAGGCUACGACGGGUAGCGGGACUGAGAGGUUGGCCCGCCACAUCGGGACUGAGACACUGCCCGGACCUCCACGGAGGGCUGCAGUAACGGAUAUUGGGCAAUGGGCGAAAGCCUGACCCAGCAAUGCCGCGUGCAGGAUGAAGCCCCUCGGGGUGUAAACUGCUGUCAGGGGCAAGAAAGUCUUCGGAUUGAUCAGCCCCAAAGGAAGUCACGGCUAACUUCGUGCCAGCAGCCGCGGUAAUACGAAGGUGGCGAGCGUUAUUCGGAAUCAUUGGCGUUAAAGGGCACGCCAGGCGGGAUAGCAAGGGUCAAGUGAAAUCCCCCGGGCUAACCGGGGAAAUUGGCUUGACAAACUGCUGUCCUUGAGACAGGCAGGGGUGCAUGGAACUCUUGGUGGAGCGGUGGAAUGCGUAGAUAUCAAGAGGAACGCCGGAGGUGAAGACGGUGCACUGGGCCUGUUCUGACGCUGAGGUGCGAAAGCGUGGGGAGCAAACGGGAUUAGAUACCCCGGUAGUCCACGCCGUAAACGAUGCCUACUAGGUUGUGGGAGUUCUGACGCUCUCACAGCCGCAGCAAAAGUGUUAAGUAGNCCGCCUGGGGAGUACGGCCGCAAGGUUAAAACUCAAGGGAAUUGACGGGGGCUCACACAAGCGGUGGAGCAUGUGGAUUAAUUCGAAGCAACGCGCAGAACCUUACCUGGGUUUGACAUGCUUGGAUGCCUGCCUGGAAACAGGUUAGGCUGCCCUUCGGGGUGAAACUUGCACAGGUGCUGCAUGGCUGUCGUCAGCUCGUGUCGUGAGAUGUCGGGUUAAGUCCUUUAACGAGCGAAACCCUUGCCGUUAGUUGCCAGCGGGUCAUGCCGGGGACUCUAACGGGACUGCCGGUGUUAAACCGGAGGAAGGUGGGGAUGACGUCAAGUCCUCAUGGCCUUUAUGCCCAGGGCUUCACACGUGCUACAAUGGCAGGUACAGAGGGAUGCGAGACCGCAAGGUGGAGCGAAGCCCAAAAAACCUGCCUCAGUUCGGAUUGCAGGCUGUCAAUUCGCCUGCAUGAAGUUGGAAUCGCUAGUAAUCGCGUAUCAGCUAUGACGCGGUGAAUGUGUUCCUGAGCCUUGUACACACCGCCCGUCAAGUGAUGGAAGCCGGGAGUACCCGAAGU
rnacentral:rRNA from 1 species